rnacentral:rRNA from 1 species
GGUCUCGUUGGUGACCAGCGGAGGGAUCAUUACCGAGUUUACAACUCCCAAACCCCUGUGAACAUACCUUAAUGUUGCCUCGGCGGAUCAGCCCGCGCCCCGUAAAACGGGACGGCCCGCCAGAGGACCCAAACUCUAAUGUUUCUUAUUGUAACUUCUGAGUAAAACAAACAAAUAAAUCAAAACUUUCAACAACGGAUCUCUUGGUUCUGGCAUCGAUGAAGAACGCAGCAAAAUGCGAUAAGUAAUGUGAAUUGCAGAAUUCAGUGAAUCAUCGAAUCUUUGAACGCACAUUGCGCCCGCUGGUAUUCCGGCGGGCAUGCCUGUUCGAGCGUCAUUUCAACCCUCAAGCCCCCGGGUUUGGUGUUGGGGAUCGGCUCUGCCUUCUGGCGGUGCCGCCCCCGAAAUACAUUGGCGGUCUCGCUGCAGCCUCCAUUGCGUAGUAGCUAACACCUCGCAACUGGAACGCGGCGCGGCCAUGCCGUAAAACCCCAACUUCUGAAUGUUGACCUCGGAUCAGGUAGGAAUACCCGCUGAACUUAAGCAUA